CUGGCAAAUAGAGCCUGGACUUUGGGACUCGUGGGUCUGGAUUGGACUUUGGAUCUGCUACAGGAUACUUGAGUGACCUUGGUCAGAGCAGCAAACUUCGGGAAGCCUCAGUUUUCUCUUCUGUAAGAUGGGAACUGGAAGGGUUACUGAGGAUUCUAUGGGAUGGCUUAUGAGGAGAACUUGGCACAUAGUAGCUGUGCACUAAAAGGUGCCCUGCUGGGUCCCAGUCUUCUAGAAAGAACAUGCCCCAGGCACACAGGUGAGCCCCUUCUAGAUCCUCCAUGGAAAGGGGAGUCAGCUGAUGGUGGUGCUGUGCUGGAGCUGCAGAGCCAAAGAUGUGUACGCAGCCCAUUCAUCUGCCUUCUGCUGCUUGAGCCCCCACAGAUGCGGAAGGUGCAGGGAAUGAUUCAGCUCCAGCUUUUAUUCUUGGUUGUCUUGUUAUUUUUCCCCUAAUGACUGGUGUGGUCAGAGCCUCAGCUGGAGUUAUGCUGACCUAGUUUUCAAUUCUGACUGUGCCCAAACAAGCUGUGUAACCUUGGACAAGUAACUUAACCUCUCUGUCCUAUCUCCUUCAUCUGCGAAACAGGAAAAUUAGCAUAUCUUUCUCACAAGGUUCUUUGGAGAGCUUUCAAAAUCUAAUUUUCAUUAUGAAACAUUUCAAACAUGGAGAUUAAUACAACUAAAAACAUGAGGAAUAAAACAAUUUUGAAAUCCCA
rnacentral:lncRNA from 1 species